rnacentral:sRNA from 1 species
CUAUUUUGCCAUUACGAUGUAAAAGUAUUUCGACAGUAUUAUGAAUUAAUUCGAUAUCAGUGGAGAAGAGUUACAUUUGCUAAAGAGUCCAACUCAAAAGGGCGACAAUGUUUCCAUUUGGAAGUCACGAGUAAUCCGUCAAGGUGUGACGAUGAGUCUAGAUGAUGAGUUCAGAAAAGACUGAGUGUGUUCCGUCUUGGUGAUUGAGCCCCAACCAGUCGAAACUUUGAAAUUAAAGAACACUUUCCCCAACACUAAGAUACCCGUUACUCAGAAAAGAGACAAAUAUAGAGUGUGGUACUGCGUUCUCUUUGAAUAUACGCCCGACAUAAAAAUUCACCACAGCACCCAAGUGCUUCGUCCUGGAAGACAUUUUAAUACUCAAAAGACAUUUGUAUCGUUGAAGCUAAAAAGUAUCUUGUCUUGCCAGGAAGGGCAGCAAUUGGUGAUUGGUAUGCUAAAUUUAAACCCAUAUGUAGAUACAAGCGCAGAGGAGCUCUGCUGACCUCUUCGGUCGUCCAUAGCAGACAACUACGCCAGAAAAAGGGUUUGGCGUGUUUAGUGUUUCGUCAGGACAACGCGCCUUGUCAGAAAUGGAUGAACUAUACGAAUUUCAUUUCGAAUUGGUUUUAUCUACAAAACUCACCAGAUUAAGAUUCCAGCAACUAAUAGAAGUUCCAAAAUCUCAAACAAAUUCCCCAAGCAAAAAAAUUGAAUACGUUGUUUGAUUCGUUUUUUUUUGGGAGUACU